rnacentral:rRNA from 1 species
GACGUAGGGCGCGAGCGUUGUCCGGAUUUAUUGGGCGUAAAGAGCCCGUAGGCGGCUUGUCGCGUCGUCCGUGAAAACUUGGGGCUCAACCCCAAGCUUGCGGUCGAUACGGGCAGGCUCGAGUUCGGUAGGGGAGACUGGAAUUCCUGGUGUAGCGGUGAAAUGCGCAGAUAUCAGGAGGAACACCGGUGGCGAAGGCGGGUCUCUGGGCCGAUACUGACGCUGAGGAGCGAAAGCGUGGGGAGCGAACAGG